rnacentral:rRNA from 1 species
AUACAGAGGGUGCAAGCGUUAAUCGGAAUUACUGGGCGUAAAGCGCACGUAGGUGGUUCAUUAAGUCAGAUGUGAAAGCCCCGGGCUCAACCUGGGAACUGCAUUUGAAACUGGUGAGCUAGAGUAUGGUAGAGGUAAGUGGAAUUCCAGGUGUAGCGGUGAAAUGCGUAGAUAUCUGGAGGAACAUCAGUGGCGAAGGCGACUUACUGGACCAAUACUGGCACUGAGGUGCGAAAGCGUGGGGAGCAAACAGGAUUAGAAACCCCAGUAGUCC